rnacentral:rRNA from 1 species
UAAUACGGAGGGGGCAAGCGUUAUUCGGAAUUAUUGGGCGUAAAGGGCGCGUAGGCGGCCUGCCAAGUCUUGGGUGAAAUCCCUCGGCCUAACCGAGGAACUGCCUUUGAAACUGUCAGGCUUGAGGCCGGGAGAGGGUAGUGGAAUUCCCAGUGUAGCGGUGAAAUGCGUAGAUAUUGGGAGGAACACCAGUGGCGAAGGCGACUACCUGGACCGGUUCUGACGCUGAGGCGCGAAAGCGUGGGGAGCAAACAGGAUUAGAUACCCCGGUAGUCCACGCCGUAAACGAUGGGUACUCGGUGCAGCGGGUAUUGACCCCUGCUGUGCCUUAGCUAACGCGUUAAGUACCCCGCCUGGGGAGUACGGUCGCAAGGCUG